CAGCAGCCGCGGUAAUACGUAGGUGGCAAGCGUUGUCCGGAAUGAUUGGGCGUAAAGGGCGCGCAGGCGGCUGUGUAAGUCUGUCUAGAAAGUGCGGGGCUAAACCCCGUGAGAGGAUGGAAACUGGACAGCUGAGAGUGUCGGAGAGGAAAGCGGAAUUCCUAGUGUAGCGGUGAAAUGCGUAGAUAUUAGGAGGAACACCGGUGGCGAAAGCGGCUUCCUGGACGACAACUGACGCUGAGGCGCGAAAGCCAGGGGAGCAAACGGGAUUAGAGACCCGAGUAGUCCCUGUCUCUUAUAC
rnacentral:rRNA from 1 species